rnacentral:rRNA from 1 species
UUUAUAGAGAGUUUGAUCCUGGCUCAGGACGAACGCUGGCGGCGUGCUUAACACAUGCAAGUCGAACGGAGCGCCCUUGACUGAGGUUUCGGCCGAAUGAUAGGAAUGCUUAGUGGCGGACUGGUGAGUAACGCGUGAGGAACCUGCCUUCCAGAGGGGGACAACAGUUGGAAACGACUGCUAAUACCGCAUGACACAUUCGGGCGGCAUCGCCUGGAUGUCAAAGAUUUUAUCGCUGGAAGAUGGCCUCGCGUCUGAUUAGAUAGUAGGCGGGGUAACGGCCCACCUAGUCGACGAUCAGUAGCCGGACUGAGAGGUUGACCGGCCACAUUGGGACUGAGAUACGGCCCAGACUCCUACGGGAGGCAGCAGUGGGGAAUAUUGGGCAAUGGGCGCAAGCCUGACCCAGCAACGCCGCGUGAAGGAAGAAGGCUUUCGGGUUGUAAACUUCUUUUGUCAGGGAACAGUAGAAGAGGGUACCUGACGAAUAAGCCACGGCUAACUACGUGCCAGCAGCCGCGGUAAUACGUAGGUGGCAAGCGUUGUCGGGAUUUACUGGGUGUAAAGGGCGUGCAGCCGGGCUGGUAAGUCAGAUGUGAAAUCCGUGGGCUUAACCCACGAACUGCAUUUGAAACUGCUGGUCUUGAGUACCGGAGAGGUUAUCGGAAUUCCUUGUGUAGCGGUGAAAUGCGUAGAUAUAAGGAAGAACACCAGUGGCGAAGGCGGAUAACUGGACGGCAACUGACGGUGAGGCGCGAAAGCGUGGGGAGCAAACAGGAUUAGAU